UACUACUCAUUUCAUGGAAAAAUUCUAGAAUGCAACGGGUAUAUUAGUGACGUGGCGUAACAAACCAAUCAAAUUAAUCCUUUUAAGAAUAUAUGUCCCAUCAUGAUUGUAAAAAAGUAUUUUUAUUGUACUUUUAUUUGAAAAGAAGGAAUGUGAUUGGCUUGUUAUUGAUGACGUGGUGCAAGUGUGACAGUGUAGAAUUCCUCCAUUUCAUGUCCCAGUUAUU
rnacentral:lncRNA from 1 species